AGCGAACGCUGGCGGCAGGCCUAACACAUGCAAGUCGAACGAAGUCUUCGGACUUAGUGGCGGACGGGUGAGUAACACGUGGGAACGUGCCUUUAGGUUCGGAAUAACUCAGGGAAACUUGUGCUAAUACCGAAUGUGCCCUUCGGGGGAAAGAUUUAUCGCCUUUAGAGCGGCCCGCGUCUGAUUAGCUAGUUGGUGAGGUAAAGGCUCACCAAGGGGACGAUCAGUAGCUGGUCUGAGAGGGUGAUCAGCCACAUUGGGACUGAGACACGGCCCAAACUCCUACGGGAGGCAGCAGUGGGGAAUCUUGCGCAAUGGGCGAAAGCCUGACGCAGCCAUGCCGCGUGAAUGAUGAAGGUCUUAGGAUUGUAAAAUUCUUUCACCGGGGACGAUAAUGACGGUACCCGGAGAAGAAGCCCCGGCUAACUUCGUGCCAGCCGCCGCCGUAAAAC
rnacentral:rRNA from 1 species